rnacentral:lncRNA from 1 species
CAAUAAUACGUUUUUCACUAAGAAUACAUUUUUCAUUUUCAUGUAUACUCAAAUGCACAAUACAUUUUCCAUAAUACAACUUCUAUUGUAAAACUAAUUUAGGAUCAUUUCUCCAUUAAUUUCCAUCGCCCCAUACGUCUCUGAAAAAACAAAUUAAAAAUAGUAGCAAACUAAAACCCAAAAUAGCAAUAAAUUAACAUAAAUAAUAGCAAAUUAACACAGAAACAGCCAAAAAUUGCAAGAUAUCAAAACCCAAAAAUAGCAAAUAAAUAACUAAAUAAAUAAACCCAAAAUAUCAUAAAAUUAACCCAAAAUAGAAGGGAAUUAACCCAGAAACAGCAGAAAAAAAACUCAAAACCAACAGGAAAUCAAGCCCAAAAAUGGCGAAAAUUAACCCAGAAACAACAGGAAAAAAAGACAAAAAAUAGCAACUGAACAGAAACACAGCAAAAAAUUAUCCUAGAAGCAACAGCAAAACAGCAAAACAGCAAAAAAUAGCAACGAAAGUAGCAGCAAAUCAAUCUCGAAAAAGAAGCAAAUCAACAUAAAGAAUUGCAGCAAACCCAAAAAUAGCAAGAAACAAAGCCAAAGAACAGAAUGUAGUAAAAAAUAUAAACAAAAAAAAUUGCCCAAAAAUAACAACAAAUCAAGCCCCAAAAUAGAAUUGCAGCAAACACAAAAAUAGCAGGAAACAAAGCCAAAAAAGCAUAAUGUAGUAAAAAAAUAUGAACAAAAAAUUUGCCCAAAAACAGCAUAAAAUUUAGGCAGAAACAGAUGUAAAUUUAAUCCGCAGCAAAAUAACCCAGAAACUGCUGAAAAUCAAGCCAAAAAGCAACAAAAAAAUUAUGGAGAAACAACAACAAAUCAAAAACAAAACUGCACGUAUGACUUAGAAUUUUUCUAAAAAACGUGUCUGUGGCUUGGCUUGUACAAAAGAUAUUUUACAUAAACUACGUGUGAUGAAUCUCAAAAUUUUCAACUCCAUAUAACACAAUAUAAGAGCAAACAAAUUUAUUAUAGAUCCCGUAAGCUUAAAUUAUAAUUCAUAAAAUUGCAACAAGGCAUUGUAACACCAACACAAAACUAGAUAUCAGGAGUGAAUUUUAAUGAUCUCCAACUAAACUUGACUCUAGUUCAAAUAGUUCAAAGAACAUUCUGAUUGAAUAGAUAUGCAAGAAUGAAUAUUAAUUUUACCAGCAGGGCAUUUACAAGACCACAAGUAUACAGUUUGAAGAAUUGAGACUUAGACUUCCACACAACCUAAAUAUUGUUGGAUAAAAAUGACAGAGAAAAUAAAAUUAUCAUACUAAAAUAACAAAUGUAAUUUUUUUGUCUGAGAACCCAAUUACGCUAAGUUACACCCAUCACGCAUAUCCAGAUAAGGCUCCACCAUUAGAAAAGUAGUUGUGAACAAUGCUCUUUGGGAAACUACAGGAUCUUACACAUUUAAUUUCUGUAAAGGAUUCCCUAAACAUUACCAACUAGGCAUUUACACUACCACAACAGGCAUGCAGUUUGAAGAAAUGAGAGUUAGACUUCCACAAUGUAAAUAUUGUUGGACAACGGUAGAACCAUCUCCAAGAUUUACGAAGGACAACAUAUAAUUAACAAUAGCAAGAGUGUUUGGAUGAAUCUAAACCUUACAAUUAGAAAUGACAUGUUAACGUUAGAAUAAAAGGAAUUUAUAAAUUAUUUUAGUAGUGCAUUAAACUCAAGAUGCAAUACCUCUCUGACUUCAUCUUCUGUGCUUCUACCAUAUGCAUCUUCACCACUCGGUUGAUUAAAUGAGUGACACACCGGCUGAACUGGUUGUUUCGAACGAUGGGCUACCUGUCCUUGCCUUUCUCUUACGAAUUUAAGUAGAAUCUAACCAACGAAGAACUUAACUUUGAAAUCGACGAGGAAGGACCGGUCAUCGGAGAUGAAAUAGAGGUGGCGACCUCCCAAGCAGUAUCGAUUUGUUGAAACUCAACGAGACACUGAUUCACUGCCAUACAGUUACAUAGUCCAUCCGCAUCAAAAGACCCUUGGUUUGUAGAAAAUUCGGUGGCGGAUUUUGCAGAGGAUGGUCUUGGAGGAGAUGAAACUCCUCUUGCUUACCGUUUUGGGUCUUCUUUUUUAUUUUUUUUUUCAGACAAUUGCAAAUAUUUGUAAUUCAUUUACUAAGAUCCACUACAAAGUCCUCAGAUCUCCAAUACCCACUUCUUUAGGGAGAUCUUUCACUUAACCAAUCACAGUAAAAUGUCUCUAUUUAAAGUUUAGGAAAGGCAC